rnacentral:rRNA from 1 species
AUGGAAUCCAGAAAAUUAUCUGAGAUACAAUCAAAAAUUGGUUGGGUCACAUUGAGCCAAACUGGACACCCCAAAGACUUUGGACAGCAUAGUAAGUGCUUACUGCUUCUUAAUGGCAAAAUACAUAUGUACGGAGGUUGUAACUUAGCUGAUUUUCAGCCAGGACGGGAUGAAAAACCAAGUCCAACAAACUCAUUAGACAUAUGGAUCUUAAUAUACCUCAUCGGUAGCAUUGUUGGCAUCCAGCUACUGGCAUGUAUGUGGAAGCAACAGCAAGAAGCUAACUACCACAUCAGGGAUCUCAGGAUGAUCCAUGCUUCCGCAGCAAGUUCAAUUACCUGUAAGUGA